GUGCAGCUGGGUGUUUCUGUGGCUGCCCCACCUCUGCACAGUGUGGCCACACAUAACUGAGUACUGUAGAAUCAAUCAGAAGAGUACAGAAGUCAGUAAAUAUCAGCUCGAGAUGCCUUCUACUGUCCCUCUCCCAAUUAGUGACACACACCCUGCCUUGGCUCGGGGUCCUUGCUCCUGCAGGGCCUCAGGGAGCUCUGCCUGGCUGAGGACAUCUGCCCCCUGCACCUUUGAGAGGAGAGACACGUCCAAGCAAACCAGGGCUGGACAAAAAUGCUGCAGAAAUCCACAGAAGAUGUACUGAGGUGUCUGCACUCAGAAACAUCCUCAGAGCAUUCCAGAGUUCCAGAAGGAAGUGUGAAACUUCAUUAACGGAGUGUUUAACCUUCCUUUGUGCAUGAGCACAUCUGUGCUCCUGUUUACACUCAGCAUUUUACCACAACUAUUUAAAGUUUGAGCUGGGUGUUGGUUUGAGUGUCUUGCAUGCUCUCAGUGGUUUAGGACUUUGGUGUGGCACAGGUUUUAUCAGGAGUUCAGCCACCACCUUGUCCCUUCUCCUCAGUUUUCUGCAGCAGAGGGCUACAAACAGGCUGCUGGGCUGCACUGCCCUGGCAAGAGCACUUCUGGCAGUGCUCAAGUGUCAUUCUCAAAACUGGCAGUUGGAUUGGAGAUGGGAAAGGGUAAACAGUACCAAGAAAACUAACAAACCCCUGAAAUGUCUAAUAUUGCUCAGUUCAGGCCCUGGCUCUGUGAUUGUGAGGCUGAAGAUGCCUGACAAACACUGUUAAUCAGUGAGGAAAUACCAGUUCCACAGCUCCCUUCAUGGAACUGGUGUGAGAGAAGAAACAUCAUGGGAAAAGCAAAAGUGUAAGACAUUAAGGUCUUGUGCAGGGUCUUGGGGUGGCAUUUGAUAUUUUAAAAUCCACCUGUGCUGAGUACAAUGAGCACUCCUACACUUUCCAGUCCUUCUGGAGUCCUUGCUGAAUGCUCCUCUGAAGCAGCUCCUUUGUCACCCCACAGCUGAGUGACAUCAUCCUGUGACAGCAAGGCACAAGCAGCAUCAGCACUGAUAGCAGCAGUUUGCACACAAAUACUUAUACAAAUAAUUAUCCAAAAUAUGUGAAAACAAACGAUAGCAGCAGGGCAAGUUUCAUUUUGCCAUAACCUGUAUCAAGGCAGGUUCUCUUUCCAAUACUGCCGCUCUCAUAUGGGUACUGUCAGGUCAGGGAAACCACUGGAGGAUCUCCAACACUGGGAGCUGGAUUUUACUAAAGAUCCUUAAGGACCUGGUCAAGUCACAGAUGAUGGGAAAUACAGAAAUUCACACUUGUGAAAAAAACCCAGUGUCUCCACUGUACAUCCCUCACUGAUCAGUCUAAUUGUACAUCUACCCUCAUAUC